rnacentral:rRNA from 1 species
CCUACGGGAGGCAGCAGUGGGGAAUAUUGGACAAUGGGGGGAACCCUGAUCCAGCCAUGCCGCGUGUGUGAAGAAGGCCCUCGGGUUGUAAAGCACUUUCAGUGAGGAAGAACGCCUGGUGGUUAAUACCCAUCAGGAAAGACAUCACUCACAGAAGAAGCACCGGCUAACUCCGUGCCAGCAGCCGCGGUAAUACGGAGGGUGCGAGCGUUAAUCGGAAUUACUGGGCGUAAAGCGCGCGUAGGUGGCUUGAUAAGCCGGUUGUGAAAGCCCCGGGCUCAACCUGGGAACGGCAUCCGGAACUGUCAAGCUAGAGUGCAGGAGAGGAAGGUAGAAUUCCCGGUGUAGCGGUGAAAUGCGUAGAGAUCGGGAGGAAUACCAGUGGCGAAGGCGGCCUUCUGGCCUGACACUGACACUGAGGUGCGAAAGCGUGGGUAGCAAACAGGAUUAGAUACCCUGGUAGUC